GACGAACGCUGGCGGCGUGCUUAACACAUGCAAGUCGAACGGACUACUUUGCUUCGGUAAGGUGGUUAGUGGCGAACGGGUGAGUAACGCGUAGACAACCUACCUCUUAGAUGGGGACAACAUCGCGAAAGCGGUGCUAAUACCGAAUGAAGUGACUUUCCUGCAUGGGAGAGAUACUAAAGGUGGCCUCUAUUUAUAACCUACCACUGAUAGAUGGGUCUGCGUCUGAUUAGCUAGUUGGCCGGGUAACGGCCCACCAAGGCGACGAUCAGUAGCCGGUCUGAGAGGAUGAACGGCCACAUUGGGACUGAGACACGGCCCAAACUCCUACGGGAGGCAGCAGUGGGGAAUCUUCCGCAAUGGACGAAAGUCUGACGGAGCAACGCCGCGUGAGUGAAGAAGGUUUUCGGAUCGUAAAGCUCUGUUGUUUGAGACGAAUGUGCCUGUUUCAAAUAGGGAUAGGUAGUGACGGUAUUAAACGAGAAAGCCACGGCUAACUACGUGCCAGCAGCCGCCGUAA
rnacentral:rRNA from 1 species